rnacentral:rRNA from 1 species
AGCAGCCGCGGUAAUUCCAGCUCCAAUAGCGUAUAUUAAAGUUGUUGCAGUUAAAAAGCUCGUAGUUGAAUUUCGGGGUUCUACCGUUGGUCGGGCUUUGUCUGUACUGACGUGUAGAAUUUCUACCUUCUGGGGAACCAUCAUGUUAUUAAUUUAACGUGGUGGGAAACCAGGACCUUUACCUUGAAAAAAUUAGAGUGUUCAAAGCAGGCUUAUGUCUGAAUACAUUAGCAUGGAAUAAUAAAAUAGGACGGUGGUCCUGUUUUGUUGGUUUCUGAAUCACCGUAAUGAUUAAUAGGGAUAGUUGGGGGCAUUAGUAUUCAAUUGUCAGAGGUGAAAUUCUUGGAUUUAU